GUUACGACUAGUUUUUAUCAAUACACAUAACAUUCUUUACUGUUUUAAGUAUUAUAACGAAAAAAGUGGAAUUUAAACAACUGAAAUGUAUUCAAGAAUUCUACAAAGAUAUUAUUAGCCAGACGAAUUACAACGUGAAAAAUCCAAGAC